rnacentral:rRNA from 1 species
GAUGAACGCUAGCUACAGGCUUAACACAUGCAAGUCGAGGGGUAACAAGAGAAAAGCUUGCUUUUCUUGUUGACGACCGGCGCACGGGUGAGUAACGCGUAUCCAACCUGCCUAUAACUAGGGAAUAACCUUGCGAAAGUAAGACUAAUACCCUAUGAUUUCCUUUGAUGACAUCAGAUUAGGAAUAAAGAUUUAUCGGUUAUAGAUGGGGAUGCGUCUGAUUAGCUUGUUGGCGGGGUAACGGCCCACCAAGGCAACGAGCAGUAGGGGUUCUGAGAGGAAGGUCCCCCACAUAGGAACUGAGACACGGUCCAAACUCCUACGGGAGGCAGCAGUGAGGAAUAUUGGUCAAUGGGCGGAAGCCUGAACCAGCCAAGUAGCGUGCAGGAUGACGGCCCUAUGGGUUGUAAACUGCUUUUAUACAGGAAUAAAGUUAGCCACGUGUGGUUAUUUGUAGGUACUGUAUGAAUAAGGACCGGCUAAUUCCGUGCCAGCCGCCGCAGUAA